rnacentral:rRNA from 1 species
UACCUGCAGCUCAAGUGGUGGCCGCUAUUAUUGGGCCUAAAACGUUCGUAGCCGGUUUGGUAAAUGCCUGGGUAAAUCGUGUAGCUUAACUAUACGAAUUCCGGGUAGACUGCUAAACUUGAGACCGGGAGAAGCUAGAGGUACUCCUGGGGUAGAGGUGAAAUUCUGUAAUCCUGGGGGGACCACCAGUGGCGAAGGCGUCUAGCUAGAACGGGUUUGACGGUGAGGAACGAAGCCCUGGGGCGCAAACCGGAUUAGAUACCCGGGUAGUCCAGGGUGUAAACGCUGCUUGCUUGAUGUUAGUUGGGCUCCGAGCCCAAUUAGUGUCGGAGAGAAGUUGUUAAGCAAGCUGCCUGGGAAGUACGAUCGCAAGAUUGAAACUUAAAGGAAUUGGCGGGGGAGCACAGCAACGGGUGGAGCGUGCGGUUU